GGGAUGAAAGUGAGGACGAAGCCCAAAACGAAACAGAAACAGAAGAAGAAGAAGAAGAAGAAGAAAAAAGAGGGAAAAGAGAGGAAGAACAGGACAUAA
rnacentral:ribozyme from 1 species